AUGCAUGCGCAACAGCACGAUGUAACCCAUUCCUUUUUUCAGAGGCGAGCAUGUGUGUGCAAUGACAGAGUGAGGGAGAUUAUGUGGGGUAUGCAAAAUCUCAUGCCUCUUUUAAUCCCUCAAGAACAAUCUGUGUUCACAAAGGCGGACCGGCUCCCCAUAUGCAAAGGAUUGGAUAUGCUCUUAUCUCGACACGGCAUUAAUAUUGUCAAGCAAGAGUGGAUUAAUGAAGAUAUUCUACAGCUGGCUCUCAAGGUGUAUCAUGCUGAUCUACGUGAAAACGAACAUUCAAAGUUCUUGCGCAGAAGUCUUGGUCUUGAUAAGCAUCUGAAGGCCAUUUCUGGAUUUGACGCAAAGGAUUGGGAUUUAGUCAAACUUGCAACAGCGUUGAAGACAAUGGUCGAUCCCGAUGCUAAUCUUCUUCCAAUUGUCAAAACUUUCAAGAUGUUCUCGCCUGAGGAGGCUAACUUGAUCGAGCUUGAUGCACCUAAAUAUGAAGAUCUGUUAGACAGGGACACAAUCUCAGAAAUCUAUGAAGACAUUGUUGCUGUCCGUGAAUACGUGGACAAAGUGUUGUUGAAAUUGCGCCACUUGCUUAAGAAGGCUGAAGCAGCACUGGAAACUGAAGAUGUGCAGGAGAAAAGGGCGACUAAUGGUGUCGACUCCAUACAACAAGUUGACUGUACAUGUUUAGCAGUGGUUCCGGUGGAAGUACCCAACCAAAGUAGCAUUGCUUAG
rnacentral:rRNA from 1 species